rnacentral:rRNA from 1 species
UACGUAGGGUGCAAGCGUUAAUCGGAAUUACUGGGCGUAAAGCGUGCGCAGGCGGCUUUGCAAGACAGAUGUGAAAUCCCCGGGCUUAACCUGGGAACUGCAUUUGUGACUGCAUGUCUGGAGUGCGGCAGAGGGGGAUGGAAUUCCGCGUGUAGCAGUGAAAUGCGUAGAUAUGCGGAGGAACACCGAUGGCGAAGGCAAUCCCCUGGGCCUGCACUGACGCUCAUGCACGAAAGCGUGGGGAGCAAACAGG